ACACCGGCAGCUCAAGUGGUGGCCAUUUUUAUUGGGCCUAAAGCGUUCGUAGCCGGUUUGAUAAGUCUCUGGUGAAAUCUCACGGCUUAACCGUGAGAAUUGCUGGAGAUACUAGUUAGGCUUGAGGCCGGGAGAGGCUGGAGGUACUCCCAGGGUAGGGGUGAAAUCCUAUAAUCCUGGGAGGACCACCUGUGGCGAAGGCGGCUAACUGGAACGGACCUGACGGUGAGUAAACGAAAGCCAGGGGCGCG
rnacentral:rRNA from 1 species